AACGAACGCUGGCGGCGUGCCUAACACAUGCAAGUCGGACGCGAAAGGGGGCAACCCCCGGUAGCGUGGCAGACGGGUGAGUAACACGUGGGUAACCUGCCCGGAGGUGGGGGAUAACCCUUCGAAAGGAGGGCUAAUACCGCAUGACAUCCCGGGGUCCUCGGACCCUGGGCUCAAAGCUAGCCUCUGUUUACAAGCUAGCGCCACCGGAGGGGCCCGCGGCCCAUUAGCUAGUUGGUGAGGUAACGGCUCACCAAGGCGACGAUGGGUAGCCGGCCUGAGAGGGCGACCGGCCACACUGGAACUGAGACACGGUCCAGACUCCUACGGGAGGCAGCAGUGAGGAAUAUUGCGCAAUGGGCGAAAGCCUGACGCAGCGACGCCGCGUGGAGGAUGAAGGUCUUCGGAUUGUAAACUCCUGUCGUCCGGGACGAAUGCCGGGGAGGUUAACAGCCUCUUCGGUUGACGGUACCGGAGGAGGAAGCCCCGGCUAACUCCGUGCCAGCCGCCGCGGUAAUAC
rnacentral:rRNA from 1 species